rnacentral:rRNA from 1 species
AACGAACGCUGGCGGCAGGCCUAACACAUGCAAGUCGAGCGCCCCGCAAGGGGAGCGGCGGACGGGUGAGUAACGCGUGGGAACGUGCCUCUUGCUACGGAAUAGCCUCGGGAAACUGGGAGUAAUACCGUAUGUGCCCUACGGGGGAAAGAUUUAUCGGCAAGAGAUCGGCCCGCGUUGGAUUAGGUAGUUGGUGGGGUAAUGGCCUACCAAGCCGACGAUCCAUAGCUGGUUUGAGAGGAUGAUCAGCCACACUGGGACUGAGACACGGCCCAGACUCCUACGGGAGGCAGCAGUGGGGAAUCUUAGACAAUGGGCGCAAGCCUGAUCUAGCCAUGCCGCGUGAGCGAUGAAGGCCUUAGGGUUGUAAAGCUCUUUCAGUGGGGAAGACAAUGACUGUACCCACAGAAGAAGCCCCGGCUAACUCCGUG